rnacentral:misc_RNA from 1 species
AACCUGUGAGGNCNCGCUCGGGCUGUCGCUGACUCAAGAAGUCGUGCACGCCCGAGGGUGUCCUCGCAUAAUANUCCAUCUCACCCUUUGUGCACCACCGCGUGGGCGCACCCUUCGGGAUCGGUCCGAUCUUGGAAGGGGGCUCACGUUUUCNCACAAACCCCCCCACC